AAGUAGGUAACACGAUGGGGCUAGUGUCGCGUUUGUUGUUGUUACAGCGUGAAACGAGGCUUAUAUUCCUGUGAUUUCAUAUACUAAAUUGAACUUCGUAACUUAUAUGCAUACUGUCAGUCAUUCCAAAAAGUUGACUUAACACUCAGUCACUUUCCAUCGGAUUAGACCCUCAUGAUUUCAAAAGCCAAAAACUCAUGUUUGAAGCACACAUGUAGUGGAAUACAAAUUUGCCGAGAUAAGGAUCUUUUCUGAAUCUCGCAAUUUUGGUGGUGUACCCUGCAACAGCAUGUUUGUUGUUAUGGAUGUUUUUACUUCUGUUAAGAAAGCAAUACAGCUAAGAGAAAGAGUUUCAGUGACGUGAAGAGUGGGAGUGAAUAGCCUGCCAUGUGUAUUGCACAUAUACCGGAUCUGCUUGAUGAAAGUCAAAUGCCUUACUAAAUUCAUCACCCGCAUGAUAAAGCAUCAGGAAAUUGAUCUCAACAUGUGGAGUAAUGCUGUUGGUUGCAGUGAAUUCC